rnacentral:rRNA from 1 species
GUACACGCUGUGACUAGCAUAUCAAUAAGCGGAGGAAAAGCAGCGGGCCAUUUUGGGCGUGUUGACCGACGUGACGAUGGAGGACAUUGCCGAUAUGGUACCUACGCUUAGGAUGUUGACAGCAGUAUAGACUGUACACGCUGUGACUAGCAUAUCAAUAAGCGGAGGAAAAGAAACUAACAAGGAUUCCCCUAGUAACGGCGAGUGAAGCGGGAAGAGCUCAAAUUUGAAAUCUUAAAGGGUUUCCCUUUACGAAUUGUAGUUUAAAGAAGUGUUUUCUGUUGAGGUUUUGGUAAAAGUUCUUUGGAAUAGGACAUCAUAGAGGGUGAGAAUCCCGUAUUUGACCUUUACUUUCAACUUUGUGAUACACUUUCAAAGAGUCGGAUUGUUUGGGAAUGCAGUCCAAAAUGGGUGGUAAAUUUCAUCUAAAGCUAAAUAUUGGCGAGAGACCGAUAGCGAACAAGUACCGUGAGGGAAAGAUGAAAAGAACUUUGAAAAGAGAGUUAAACAGUACGUGAAAUUGUCAAAAGGGAAGCGUUUGACACCAGUGUUGUUUUUCUGAAAAUCAAUUAAAGAACUGCUUUAUGCUAAGUUGUUUAGACUUCAUCAGCUAACUGUUUAGUUUUGAGCUUUUCUUUAAUGCACUUUUCAGUUGACAAGUCAACAUCAAUUUCUUUUGCUGUAAAAAAGCUUGAGGAAGGUGGCUUGAGAUUCGUCUUAAGUGUUUAUAGCCUCUUGCCUAUGCAGUCGGAGAGAUUGAGGUCUGCAGCGUAGAUCCUUCGGGGCUAAAUGCAUUUGUGCUAAGUUAUAGCAUUUUAUAGACAACUUGUUGACUAUGAUUUGUCUUGUAGCUUACUCGCUUAUGUUAUUUUACCUACGCUUAGGAUGUUGACAGCAGUAUAGACUGU